UACAGAGGGUGCGAGCGUUGUUCGGAAUUAUUGGGCGUAAAGGGCGCGUAGGCGGUGCGGUAAGUCACCUGUGAAAUCUCCUGGCUCAACUGGGAGCUUGCAGGCGAAACUGCCGUGCUGGAGUGUGGGAGAGGUGCGUGGAAUUCCUGGUGUAGCGGUGAAAUGCGUAGAUAUCAGGAGGAACACCAGUGGCGAAGGCGAGUCCCUGGACAGGUCCUGACGCUGAGGCACGAAAGCUAGGGGAGCAAACAGG
rnacentral:rRNA from 1 species